AGAGUUUGAUCAUGGCUCAGGACGAACGCUGGCGGCGUGCUUAACACAUGCAAGUCGAGCGGAAAGGCCCUUCGGGGUACUCGAGCGGCGAACGGGUGAGUAACACGUGAGCUACCUGCCCUUGGCUUUGGGAUAACCCUCGGAAACGGGGGCUAAUACCGGAUAUGCGUCUGCCUCCGCAUGGGGGUGGGUGGAAAGUUUUUCGGCCAGGGAUGGGCUCGCGGCCUAUCAGCUUGUUGGUGGGGUGAUGGCCUACCAAGGCGACGACGGGUAGCCGGCCUGAGAGGGCGACCGGCCACACUGGGACUGAGACACGGCCCAGACUCCUACGGGAGGCAGCAGUGGGGAAUAUUGCACAAUGGGCGAAAGCCUGAUGCAGCGACGCCGCGUGAGGGAUGACGGCCUUCGGGUUGUAAACCUCUUUCAGCAGGGACGAAGCGAGAGUGACGGUACCUGCAGAAGAAGCGCCGGCCAACUACGUGCCAGCAGCCGCGGUAAGACGUAGGGCGCGAGCGUUGUCCGGAUUUAUUGGGCGUAAAGAGCUCGUAGGCGGCUUGUCGCGUCGACUGUGAAAACCCGCGGCUCAACCGUGUGGUCUGCAGUCGAUACGGGCAGGCUAGAGUUCGGUAGGGGAGACUGGAAUUCCUGGUGUAGCGGUGAAAUGCGCAGAUAUCAGGAGGAACACCGGUGGCGAAGGCGGGUCUCUGGGCCGAUACUGACGCUGAGGAGCGAAAGCGUGGGGAGCGAACAGGAUUAGAUACCCCCGUAGUCC
rnacentral:rRNA from 1 species